rnacentral:rRNA from 1 species
AUCUAGCCAUGGGCAGGUUGAAGGUUGGGUAACACUAACUGGAGGACCGAACCGACUAAUGUUGAAAAAUUAGCGGAUGACUUGUGGCUGGGGGUGAAAGGCCAAUCAAACCGGGAGAUAGCUGGUUCUCCCCGAAAGCUAUUUAGGUAGCGCCUCGUGAAUUCAUCUCCGGGGGUAGAGCACUGUUUCGGCAAGGGGGUCAUCCCGACUUACCAACCCGAUGCAAACUGCGAAUACCGGAGAAUGUUAUCACGGGAGACACACGGCGGGUGCUAACGUCCGUCGUGAAGAGGGAAACAACCCAGACCGCCAGCUAAGGUCCCAAAGUCAUGGUUAAGUGGGAAACGAUGUGGGAAGGCCCAGACAGCCAGGAUGUUGGCUUAGAAGCAGCCAUCAUUUAAAGAAAGCGUAAUAGCUCACUGGUCGAGUCGGCCUGCGCGGAAGAUGUAACGGGGCUAAACCAUGCACCGAAGCUGCGGCAGCGACGCUUAUGCGUUGUUGGGUAGGGGAGCGUUCUGUAAGCCUGUGAAGGUGUGCUGUGAGGCAUGCUGGAGGUAUCAGAAGUGCGAAUGCUGACAUAAGUAACGAUAAAGCGGGUGAAAAGCCCGCUCGCCGGAAGACCAAGGGUUCCUGUCCAACGUUAAUCGGGGCAGGGUGAGUCGACCCCUAAGGCGAGGCCGAAAGGCGUAGUCGAUGGGAAACAGGUUAAUAUUCCUGUACUUGGUGUUACUGCGAAGGGGGGACGGAGAAGGCUAUGUUGGCCGGGCGACGGUUGUCCCGGUUUAAGCGUGUAGGCUGGUUUUCCAGGCAAAUCCGGAAAAUCAAGGCUGAGGCGUGAUGACGAGGCACUACGGUGCUGAAGCAACAAAUGCCCUGCUUCCAGGAAAAGCCUCUAAGCAUCAGGUAACAUCAAAUCGUACCCCAAACCGACACAGGUGGUCAGGUAGAGAAUACCAAGGCGCUUGAGAGAACUCGGGUGAAGGAACUAGGCAAAAUGGUGCCGUAACUUCGGGAGAAGGCACGCUGAUAUGUAGGUGAAGUCCCUCGCGGAUGGAGCUGAAAUCAGUCGAAGAUACCAGCUGGCUGCAACUGUUUAUUAAAAACACAGCACUGUGCAAACACGAAAGUGGACGUAUACGGUGUGACGCCUGCCCGGUGCCGGAAGGUUAAUUGAUGGGGU